GUGCUCGCUUUGGCAACAUAUAUACUAAAACUGGAGUGAUACAGAGAAGAUUAGCAUGGCCCCUGCGCAACGAUGACACGCAAAUUCAUGAAGCAUUCCAUAUAUUU
rnacentral:snRNA from 1 species